UCUACCCUCUUGGGGUAGCGAAGUCGGCCCUCGAUGGAUAUUUGCUUGCCCUGUUGACAUUUUUUUGUCGUUCGGGCAGCCGAAAUGUUGGCGAAGUCCUUGUGUUGGUGCGCGGCUGAAUGCCGCGWUGCUAUCGCUCGGAUUUCUGCCGGCUCUCACGGAUGCGGUGCCUAGUGCUAGCUCUGCGGGACUUUGCCCCGUAGACUUCGGGAGGUCCCUUGCACGAAUCAUUGCUCCUAUACGCCGUCUGUCGUGUUGCCGUUGGCGACGCGCAGAUCGUGUUCUGCCGUGGCGUCGUUGGCGACGCGUCAGAACAGUGUGUCCGGAGCGUGCUUGCGUGCAUGCGGAAUGCCUCUCUGUCCGUAUGAGCGGCGAUUUCCGGUCCGCGUCAUGCGAAGGCCCGCCCGUCCGGGUCGGUGCUGGAGCUGACGUGCCGGCUCUC
rnacentral:misc_RNA from 1 species